CGCUGGCGGCGUGCCUAAUACAUGCAAGUCGAACGGUCUUUCUAUGGAAGCUUGCUUCCACUGAGAAGAUAGUGGCGAACGGGUGAGUAACACGUGGGUAACCUGCCCAUAAGAGGGGGGAUAACAUCCGGAAACGGGUGCUAAUACCGCAUAGUUUUCUUGAUCGCAUGAUCGGGAAAGGAAAGACGGCCUUUGUGCUGUCGCUUAUGGAUGGACCCGCGGCGUAUUAGUUAGUUGGUGAGGUAACGGCUCACCAAGACGAUGAUACGUAGCCGACCUGAGAGGGUGAUCGGCCACAUUGGGACUGAGACACGGCCCAAACUCCUACGGGAGGCAGCAGUAGGGAAUCUUCCGCAAUGGACGAAAGUCUGACGGAGCAACGCCGCGUGAGUGAAGUAAAAGGGUUUUCGGAUCGUAAAACUCUGUUGUCAGAGAAGAACAAGUUGGAGAGUAACUGCUCCAGCCUUGACGGUAUCUGACCAGAAAGCCACGGCUAACUACGUGCCAGCCGCCGC
rnacentral:rRNA from 1 species